GCCGGGUGUGGUGGCGGGCGCCUGUAGUCCCAACUACUCAGGAGGCUGAGGCAGAAGAAUCACUUGAACCUGGGAGGCAGAGGUUGCAGUGAGCUGAGAUUGCGCCACUGUAUUCUAGCCUGGGUGACAGAGUGAGACUCUGUCUCAA
rnacentral:SRP_RNA from 2 species